rnacentral:lncRNA from 1 species
GUAUAUCAAUAAAGGUACAAGUACUGGCAAAUAUCAUCAUCGAAUGCAUGAUCCCUGAAGAAUAGUCAAGCUUAAAUAUUUAUGAAUCAAAGAUCGAUGCAGAAGAUAAUUGAUAGAUACUGCACAUGGAUAGAGCUUCAAAUUUUCAAAAAAGUGAUAUAGGUCUAAUUGUAGCCAACCCCAAUAGAGUUAUCACCGAGUAUGCAUUAAGGUUCAACUUCAAUACAACAAAAAAUAUGGCUG